rnacentral:lncRNA from 1 species
GUUUAUUAUUUAUGUUCUUAUAAAUAUAUAAAUAAGAAACUAAUACAUUUUAUUUUAAAAGUAGAUAAGUAUUAUCUAUAAAAUGAUAUGUAAUAAUUAUAUAAUAAUUAUUAAAUAAAUAAAAGUUCAAUUGAGUUGCCCAGUGGAAAAGAGGCACAUGCCACAGGACAACUAUUUUACAGAAACAAGGAAUUUCUGAAAGUUGUUUUUUUGUGGAAUAUUAACAUUAUGUUUUAAUUUUUUAACCAGGAUUUUGAAUUAGAUGAUGCAUUGGAUAUCUUAUUAAAUAUUAGUUGAAAUAUUCCUAGAUUAAGUGUUUUUAAGCAAUAGGACAGGAAAUUUGUGCAAAUGAAGAAGUGGCAUAUGCCUCAAAUAAUGCAGCUCUUUGCCAAAAAAAAUUCAAAGUCAGGUUAACAGGAACAGUGAAAAUGAAAAACUUCUAAAUACAGAUUUUAUAUUCAAAUGAAUUAUAUUUGAUACAUUUGAAAGAAUAAUCCCAUAUAUAACAUUUUACAUAUUGUAUAAGUCCUCAUUAAUGUCUUCUACUUCAAUCCUCUCCACAGUGUUAUCACUUCUUAGAUUAUUAUAAAAAGAGGCAUAAAUUGGUGGUACAAACUGCAAGAGGUGCUGCAAAUCCUGGAAUUUUGCUUCUUUUAUAGGUCACCCAUUGGGAUAUUUAACUGGUAACGCGCAUUCUUUAAGAGAUGGGGGAUGGUCACAAGACUUCUGCAAACUUAAUUUGGAAGGUUUCUCAGUUACAUCAUGGGAAUAUUUGAUGUAGACAGAGUGCUCUCUAUUUAACUAACCUAAAAACCAUUGCUUUUCUGAUUUUGGCAGGUUUAUUAUCCAUAGUCACAUUUUGCUUUACAAGAUGCUCAUAAUAGAGGACAUGGAAACAAAAUCUUCUUUUUUCAUUUUUACCAUUAUAAAAUAUGGCUUUUUUGUCUUACUUUUUCUUAUUAGUUCAGCCCAUUUUGAAGGAGUCUUCAAUUUUUCUAUUAUUCCAAAAUUUCUAUUGCAUGGCAUGAAUGUAUGGCAGGGAGAAAAAAUCUUUGUUCAGUUUCAUCAAAACACUUUUUGUCUAAUAGGUAUAACCAAAGCCCUAGAAUAAUAUAGUUCUUAUUCUGCCCAACACAUGAAUCUGAAUACACAAUCAGCUUUUGGUGACAUUGUUCUUUCAGUUUCUCUAGAGCCUUUAGAAAACAGCUUGCUACUUCAUCAGCU